GCGUCCGUAGCUCAAUUGGAUAGAGCAUCGGUCUUCGGAACCGAGGGUUGUAGGUUCGAGUCCUACCGGGCGUG
rnacentral:tRNA from 1 species